UGGGGAAUUUUGGACAAUGGGGGGAAACCCUGAUCCAGCCAUCCCGCGUGUGCGAUGAAGGCCUUCGGGUUGUAAAGCACUUUUGGCAGGAAAGAAACGUCGCGGGUUAAUACCCCGCGAAACUGACGGUACCUGCAGAAUAAGCACCGGCUAACUACGUGCCAGCAGCCGCGGUAAUACGUAGGGUGCAGGCGUUAAUCGGAAUUACUGGGCGUAAAGCGUGCGCAGGCGGUUCGGAAAGAAAGAUGUGAAAUCCCAGAGCUUAACUUUGGAACUGCAUUUUUAACUACCGGGCUAGAGUGUGUCAGAGGGAGGUGGAAUUCCGCGUGUAGCAGUGAAAUGCGUAGAUAUGCGGAGGAAUACCGAUGGCGAAGGCAGCCUCCUGGGAUAACACUGACGCUCAUGCACGAAAGCGUGGGGAGCAAACAGGAUUAGAUACCCUGGUAGUCCACGCCCUAAACGAUGUCAACUAGCUGUUGGGGCCUUCGGGCCUUGGUAGCGCAGCUAACGCGUGAAGUUGACCGCCUGGGGGAGUACGGUCGCAAGAUUAAAAACUCAAAUGAAUUGACGGGGUCAU
rnacentral:rRNA from 1 species